ensembl:lncRNA
AAAGUGCCCAAAUGCCACCAGAAAGUACCAAACCAGCACCAAAAUUUGCUCAAAUGCCACCAGAAAGUACCAAAUCAGCACCAAAAAGUGCCCAAAUGCCACCAGAAAGCAGCAAAAAGUGCUCAAAUGCCACCAGAAAGCACCAAAAAGUGCCCAAAUGCCACCAGAAAGCACCAAACCAGCACCAAAAAGUGCCCAAAUGCCACCAGAAAGUACCAAAUCAGCACCAAAAAGUGCCCAAAUGCCACCAGAAAGUACCAAAUCAGCACCAAAAAGUGCCCAAAUGCCACCAGAAAGCAGCAAAAAGUGCCCAAAUGCCACCAGAAAGCACCAAACCAGCACCAAAAAGUGCCCAAAUGGCACCAGAAAGCACCAAAAAGUGCCCAAAUGCCUCUCAAAAUCCCCAAACCAGCACCAAAAACGGCCAUAGGGCCGCAGGCUGUUCCAUCUCAGCGCUGUUCUGGGGUGAAAUCACAGCGUUUUGGGAUCUCUGGCAAUGCAGCGACUCAGGAGCUUCCUCAGCGCCCGGAGCAUCGUUAACAGCUCCGAGUAAUUAAGCAAUUAGCAGAUGAGAGGGAGCGAAGCUCACGCAGCCGCCGCAGCCCCGCAGUCCCCGUGGAAAUAUCUCAAUGAGGGCUUUUUGCCCCAAAACCCGGAGCUGUGGGAGCGCUGCCCCCCAACCCAACCCCCCCAACAGACCCCAUUUUGCCCCUUUUUUGCCCCAAAAACGCCGUGGGAUGAGGGACCAAAGAGCUCAGCACAGCGGGCAGCGUCCCCAGGGACAGCACGGACACGUUUUUCCCCUUUUUUGACCCAAAAAAGCAGCGGGUGGCACAGAGGAUUGGCUGCUGGGUCACACUGAGGGUCAGCACGGGGUGGACGAAGGGCAGAAUGGGGGAAAAAGGGUGGAAAAGAGCCAAAAUGGGGAGGAAAAAGGGGUGGAAAAGGGGAAAAAUGGGGCAGAAAAAGAGUGGAAAAGGGGGAAAAUGGGGCAGAAAAAGGGUGGAAAAGGGGAAAAAUGGGGUGGAAAAGGGCACAGCAGGGUAGAAAAAGGGUGGAAAAGGGAGAAAAAUGGAGCAGAAAAGGGUGGAAAAGGGGGAAAAUGGGGUGGAAAAGGACACAGCAGGGUGGGAAAAGGGUGGAAAAGGGGAAAAAUUGCAUGAAAAAGGGCAGAAAAAAGGUAAAAUGGGGCAGAAAAGGUCACACCAGGGUGGAAAAAUGGGUGGAAAAGGGGCAAAAUGGGAUGGAAAAGGGCAGAAAAAAGGUAAAAUGUGGCAGAAAAUUGCACAGUGGGGGUGGAAAAGGGGCAAAAUGGGGUGGAGAAGAACACAACAGGAUGGAAAAGGGGCAGAAAAGGGGCAAAAUGGAUCAAAAAGGGGCAAAAUGGAGUGGGAAAAGGGCAGCAAAAGGACAGUGGGUGGGAAAAGGGCAGAACAUGGCAGGAAAAUUGAGGCAAAAAGGGCAAAAUGGGUCGGGGAGAGGAUGAAAAAGGGCCAAAAUGGGGCAGAAAAGGGCAAAAAAAGGGCAAAAUGGGGCGGAAAAGGGCCAAAGUGGAAUGGAAAAGGGCACUACAGGGCAGAAAAAGGGCACAGUGGAGCAGGAAAAGGUGGAAAAGAGGCAAAAUGGGGUGAAAAAGGAUAAAAAGGAUCAAAAUGGGGCAGAAAAGGGCAAAAUGGGGUGGAAAAAGGGCAGAGCGGGGUGGAAAUGGGGCAGGAAAAGGGUUAAAACGGGGCAGAAAAGGGCCAAAACGGGGUGGAAAAGGGCCAAACGAAGCAGAAAAGGGGCAAAAAGGGGGUGGGAAAAGGGCAAAAUUGCACUUUCUCCCCUUAUUUCCCUCCUCAGACAACCACAGAGCGCCUCGGGGGGGGACAUUCCCCUUUCCCUCCCCAUUUUCCACUGCCCCCCCCCCCCCCCCCCAACCCCCCCCCAUUCCUCCCCCGUUUCCACUUCCCCGCCAUUUUGGGGCUGUUUGGGUUUUUUUUUUUUAU